rnacentral:rRNA from 1 species
UACGUAGGCAGCAAGCGUUGUUCGGAAUUACUGGGCGUAAAGAGUGCGUAGGCGGUUUUCUAAGUUUGGUGUGAAAUCUCCCGGCUUAACUGGGAGGGUGCGCCGAAGACUGGAAGGCUUGAGUAUGGGAGAGGUAAGCGGAAUUCCUGGUGUAGCGGUGAAAUGCGUAGAUAUCAGGAGGAACACCUAUGGCGAAGGCAGCACUCUGGGACGGUACUGACGCUGAGACGCGAAAGCGUGGGGAGCGAACAGG